CCUACGGGAGGCAGCAGUGAGGAAUAUUGGACAAUGGGCGCAAGCCUGAUCCAGCCAUGCCGCGUGCAGGAAGACUGCCCUAUGGGUUGUAAACUGCUUUUAUACAGGAAGAAACCUUUCCACGUGUGGGGAGCUGACGGUACUGUAAGAAUAAGCACCGGCUAACUCCGUGCCAGCAGCCGCGGUAAUACGGAGGAUGCAAGCGUUAUCCGGAAUCAUUGGGUUUAAAGGGUCCGUAGGUGGACAGAUAAGUCAGAGGUGAAAUCCUGCAGCUCAACUGUAGAAUUGCCCUUGAUACUGAUGGACUUGAGUUAUUGUGAAGUAGUUAGAAUAUGUAGUGUAGCGGUGAAAUGCAUAGAUAUUACAUAGAAUACCGAUUGCGAAGGCAGAUUACUAACAAUAUACUGACACUGAGGGACGAAAGCGUGGGUAGCGAACAGGAUUAGAUACCCUGGUAGUCCACGCCGUAAACGAUGGUCACUAGCUGUUUGACUAACAUUGGUUAGUUGAGUGGCUAAGCGAAAGUGAUAAGUGACCCACCUGGGGAGUACGCUCGCAAGAGUGAAACUCAAAGGAAUUGACGG
rnacentral:rRNA from 1 species